rnacentral:misc_RNA from 1 species
GUAGAAACUAGAAACAAAAUAAGCUCCCUGUCUCUGUACUCCAAAUAAAAAGAAUCAAUAUCUGCCCAUGUGGGUAAUGGCUAUUACCCGUAAAGUAACAGUUGUAACAGUUGUAAUGGCCUUUACCCAUUACAAAUUUUUCCACCAUUAGUUAAAGAGGGUAUCAUUACAGAAACCAAUAAAUAGUGGCCGCUACGCUAUUUAACAAUUGUCAUUUGAAAUCAUGGUACUAAUUUAUUAGCAUCUAGCCUUCAGCAGCUUGCCAAAAAGAGGAGAAGUUGUUUGGAUCUGAAAACUGAAAAGGCAUUCUCAGACUGUUAGGGCCUGUGCACUCAUGGAAAAUUGGAGUAAUUUUCUAGAAAAGUUUUCUA